rfam:Camelus ferus unplaced genomic scaffold scaffold1408, whole genome shotgun sequence.
GAGAUUAUAGGUCAGUGGUAGAGCACGUGCUUAGCGUGCGUGAGGUCCUGGGUUCAAUCCCCAGUACCUCCA